UACGUAGGGUGCAAGCGUUGUCCGGAAUUAUUGGGCGUAAAGAGCUCGUAGGCGGUCUGUCGCGUCGGCUGUGAAAACCUGGGGCUCAACUCCAGGCCUGCAGUCGAUACGGGCAGACUAGAGUUCGGUAGGGGAGACUGGAAUUCCUGGUGUAGCGGUGAAAUGCGCAGAUAUCAGGAGGAACACCGGUGGCGAAGGCGGGUCUCUGGGCCGAAACUGACGCUGAGGAGCGAAAGCGUGGGGAGCGAACAGG
rnacentral:rRNA from 1 species